rnacentral:snoRNA from 1 species
CCUGCUCCUAGAAGCAUUCCACGUGUGGUUUCUGUGUCACAGAGCUGAGACAAGAAAGGCGAUGUUUAUGCUCAGUGUCCUGACCUAUGAACAUGAGAAUAAUUAGUAGCCUAACAUU